rnacentral:rRNA from 1 species
GACGAACGCUGGCGGCGUGCUUAACACAUGCAAGUCGAACGGAAAGGCCCUGCUUUUGUGGGGUGCUCGAGUGGCGAACGGGUGAGUAACACGUGAGUAACCUGCCCUUGACUUUGGGAUAACUUCAGGAAACUGGGGCUAAUACCGGAUAGGAGCUCCUGCUGCAUGGUGGGGGUUGGAAAGUUUCGGCGGUUGGGGAUGGACUCGCGGCUUAUCAGCUUGUUGGUGGGGUAGUGGCUUACCAAGGCUUUGACGGAUAGCCGGCCUGAGAGGGUGACCGGCCACAUUGGGACUGAGAUACGGCCCAGACUCCUACGGGAGGCAGCAGUGGGGAAUAUUGCACAAUGGGCGGAAGCCUGAUGCAGCAACGCCGCGUGCGGGGUGACGGCCUUCGGGUUGUAAACCGCUUUCGCCUGUGACGAAGCGUGAGUGACGGUAAUGGGUAAAGAAGCACCGGCUAACUACGUG